ensembl:lncRNA novel transcript
AUCCCAGGGAAUUGUGUCACUCCCAUUGAGCAGCUGUGGGGCCCUCUCCCACAUGGCCCAGGUCCACCACUCUGUCAAAGGUCGCACAGCCCAGACAAAAACAGGACACAGCAGUGUGUGAAUGAGCCGGGCUUUCUCCUUCCCUCCACGUAAUAGAAGGUGCCUGAGGUUGUUGAAACACAGUCCAUUUCUCCUGGGAAUGACAAGAAUUUGAGGGAUGCUGACUUUCAAGGAAUACUGCAUGACAGGCAUCAAGAUAAACCUGAUGAAGAAAACAUAGGCCAGAAUCUGGGAAUCGGGAGCAAAGUAAUACAGCUUCGGGGACAGGCACGUAAUGAGGUCAUGAUGUAGGAGACUCCCUGCAGGACUGGCGGCCCCUGUUCCCUGGGUUGUUCUGGCUCUUUCAGCAUAUCAGAAUGUCACUCAUCUCCCACCACGCUUACCCAGGAUUCACCAUGCUGCUUUCUUGCCUGGCCUUGCUUGAGCGCUCUCUGGCCUCAGUAUGCUCAGUGCACAGCAUUAACUCCCAUCUUCCAAGUCUUGACCAUGCAAUCAGAAGAGACAUGGAGAACCUACCAUGAGCCAGACACUUUUUCUACCCGUUUCCGUGCAAUACUUCAUUUUGGUUUUACAACAUUCCUUCUGGGUAGGAUGCACAGUUUAUUUACAUUUUAUAGAUAAAAUUAUUGAGGUGUCAAAAGGCUGAGUGGUUUUCCCAAAGCUACAACCUUGUACAUUUUGGAGACAGGCCUGAAACUGUUGGAGGGGUUCAGAGCCCACCUCCUUCUCUUCAGCAUCACUAUGCACCACGGCUGGGCCAGCCCUGGUCUUGAGUCUCGUAGAAGGUCUCUAUUUGCAUUAAAUGUUAACAAGAAGCCGUCAUAGAAGAUCCUCCUUCUGUUGGUUUCUUUUCUGCUUGGACUCUGGCAUAGUAAAAAAAUUCACACACAACUCAUUUUGAAAAACCAAAUGAAACAAAACAAAGGUCCUCUUAGUCAUAGCAUCAAAACUGAAAGUUAGUGAAGGGCUUAGAAAUUCACCCUGACUUUACACAGGAGGUAAUAGCCACUGGGAAUACCGAGUAACUCCCCUUCCACCCACACCAGAUGGUUUCUGGUGGAGCCAGGACAGCGCUCCUGCCCCAGGACCUCAGGACGAGGACGAAGUCCUGGGCUCUGUUGGAACACAGCAUAGGAUAAUUCUCACAGCUGGGUGGGCCUGGGAGGCAGGAGGCAGAUGUGUGCUGAGGGCCACCUGCCAGAUUUAGAGAUGGAGCACGGAUGGAUUGAGAAGAGGUUCUGAGACAGAAGUAUUGCUCUAAGGAUCUGGCGUAGACAAAUAGACCCUCCUUGGAAAGAUGAGUGGCCCUGGGGUUGUCCCCAAAUCUCUGGACCAGCCCAAGCCUAUGACUCCCUGCACAAGGGCACCUGCUCUCACUGCGCAAGGAUCUCUGGACUUUCUCCUCCAAAGACCUGCUCCUGGAACACAGAGCCCCUCUUCUCCUUCGUAUUGGGACCCGCCUGGCCUCACACUAGGAAUGUCCCCUGGACAGCAGUUUGAAGGCCCUAUGCUCGCUCACUGCACUAAGGAUUCUUGAGCGAUGGGCGACUUGGUCGACACACAACCCGGGCCCACUGUGCGGAAUUGCGUCGAAUAAGCUUCUCCCUGGGGCAGAGUCCCUGCCUGUCCUUGCCGCCCCCGUCCUGUUCUCGUCCCUCUAUCCUCCAACCCUCCCCAAGGCCCUUUCUCCCCCUACUUCAAGGAUGGGGCCCUUUUCCGAGCACUUUGCUCAUUGCAAAACAUAACCAAAUUAAACAAAACAAAGCCCA